GAUAGCUCAGUUGGGAGAGCGUCAGACUGAAGAUCUGAAGGUCCUGUGUUCGUUUCA
rnacentral:tRNA from 13 species